AUCAAGGGGUCCCGCGACGUCCCCGUGAGGCGACAGCCCAAAGUUCGCGUCCGAUCAACCUUCUGAUGAAGGAAAGGACGCGCUAUG
rfam:Hyphomicrobium denitrificans 1NES1, complete genome.